rnacentral:rRNA from 1 species
AAUACAUCGGAAUCUGCCCAGUCGUGGGGGAUAACUUAGGGAAACUUAAGCUAAUACCGCAUACGACCUACGGGUGAAAGAGGGGGAUCGCAAGACCUCUCGCGAUUGGAUGAGCCGAUGUCGGAUUAGCUUGUUGGCGGGGUAACGGCCCACCAAGGCGACGAUCCGUAGCUGGUCUGAGAGGAUGAUCAGCCACACUGGAACUGAGACACGGUCCAGACUCCUACGGGAGGCAGCAGUGGGGAAUAUUGGACAAUGGGCGCAAGCCUGAUCCAGCCAUGCCGCGUGAGUGAAGAAGGCCCUCGGGUUGUAAAGCUCUUUUGUCCGGAAAGAAAAGCACUCGGCCAAUACCCGGGUGUCCUGACGGUACCGGAAGAAUAAGCACCGGCUAACUUCGUGCCAGCAGCCGCGGUAAUACGAA